GUUCAUUGAAAUUAAUUGUAGUUUUUUGUUUGAUGAGAUUUGAACAUACGUUCACCUUCAUGCACCAAUACCAUUACCAGCUAUCAUACAUAUCUACAUGGGAAUGAGAUAUAGAUACUCAUCUCCUUCCCCCUCUCUGUUCUUUUAUUCUUAUAUAUCAACAUAUUUGCAUUAGAUAUGUCUAUUGAGAAUGCCUUGAAAUCUUUUGGUCCCUAAAAUGUUUUUGUUCAGCUGUAUUAAAUCUGUUUAUGGUGCUAUAUACAGUACAUGUCUCAAUAUUUCUCAUGCUUUGUUUUAGUUUUAUCCCUAUAUCUUCUUUUUCUUUGUUCAAUUUAGGUGCAGAGCCGGUGAGAUUGUAGUAUGUUUAGGUUCUUCGGCUUUUGUUCCUGACUAUGAGUUACUUAUGUUGGAUUUAGUAAGAUCAACCACCAUGGAGGGAAGAAGCAAAGGAGAAUAUAUUGGUUACUGGUCAGCAUAUAUAUAUAUUUCAAGAAGUAAAAGAAGAUAGUAAGUAUUGCUGGAAGCCCCACAGUUGCAGAAUUUGGUUAUUGAAUCAAUUGUUGCACUAGAAGGUCAAGAUUAUUAUGGGCCAGGUUCCUUCAUCACGCUCUCACACACCUGAUGAUGACCAGGGACCUAACCGUAUUCAUGUACAAGAGGCAGAAAUGCAGAGUAGAAAUAAUCCCCAGGGAGAUACGAGACAAUCAAUGAGUUCUUCACAAUUUGUUUUAUCACAAUCUUCCCCACCCAACGAAGACCAGGAAAAC